CCCAGAGUGGUGUAGUAGAAACACGCCGAGAUGACAGUUAAGCUCUUCGUCAUUGAGGGCUUAAUCCCUACGGGGACGGAGGAGUCCCAGGUUCGAUCCCUGGCUCUGGAC